rnacentral:misc_RNA from 1 species
CUAAGGAUAAAGUUAUCAUCUUCAGUUUUGACAGAC